rnacentral:tRNA from 1 species
GAGGGUGUAGCUCAGUGGUAGAGCACAUGCCUAGCAUGCAUAAGGUCCUGGGUUCAAUCCCCAGUAUCUCCU